CUCAUGCUGUCCUCUGUCUUUGUGAUACUGGCUGCCAAACAGACACCCCAGAAAGAUGCCUGGCUGCUACUUGCAACCAUGUUCUGUUCACAGCAAUGACGUACAGCAGUAUAUGUGACUGAUGUCUGAUUUGAUUUAUUGCUGAUGAAGAAAGAUCAUCUUUACUGUAAUAAAGCAAUAAAAAGUCUGCAGCGCAGAGUAUUUCUAUCAUUUGCCCAAGAACGCAUGAUUGGAGGGUGGCAGAGGUUCAAGCCUAGCCUGCAUGUUCGACUUCCUCACCAUCCUUCUUCAUUCCUGGAUUUCAAGCCUGGUUUUCCGAGAGAAGAAAAUGUUCUCCGCUGAAACAAUUAUUGGAAUACAAGAUAAGGAUGAAGGUCAUAACAAGCUUGUGGUGAAGAAGUGUAAGUGGAAGAAAGAAUGACCUGGUUCACACCCAGGGCCCAGGCUCUAUAGAGGUGAGGCCACUGCUGCCCACCUCUGUCCUCCUCUGGAUGCUCAUGCGAGGCUACCUUUUGCUCCAAACCUGCUGGAACCUAAGAUGAGACAUGAUAAAAUAAAUGGGCUGACCAAUAAAACAGGGGGAGCUGAGUUUCAGGAGAGCCUACGCUGCUGUCUUUACCAAUGGUCCCUGGAGCUCUGUUUAUAAGUAAAUUAGGAGGAUCAGCCUGAU
ensembl:lncRNA